UACAGAGGUCCCAAGCGUUGUUCGGAUUCAUUGGGCGUAAAGGGUGCGUAGGCGGCGCGGUAAGUCGGGUGUGAAAUCUCGGGGCUUAACUCCGAAACUGCAUUCGAUACUGCCGUGCUUGAGGACUGGAGAGGAGACUGGAAUUUACGGUGUAGCGGUGAAAUGCGUAGAUAUCGUAAGGAAGACCAGUGGCGAAGGCGGGUCUCUGGACCAACACUGACGCUGAGUGAGCGAAAGCCAGGGGAGCAAACGGG
rnacentral:rRNA from 1 species